AAAGGAAUAGACGGGGACCCGCACAAGCAGUGGAGCAUGUGGUUUAAUUCGACGCAACGCGAAGAACCUUACCAAGAUUUGACAUGGAGACUAAGGCCUUAGAAAUAAGGAGAUAAUAGGCUCACACAGGUGGUGCAUGGUUGUCGUCAGCUCGUGUCGUGAGAUGUUGGGUUAAGUCCCGCAACGAGCGCAACCCUCGUCCUUAGUUGCCAUCAUUCAGUUGGGAACUCUAAGGAUACUGCCGAUGUAAGUCGGAGGAAGGUGGGGAUGACGUCAAAUCAUCAUGCCCUUUAUAUCUUGGGCGACACACGUGCUACAAUGGCCGGUACAAAGAGACGCAAAGCCGCGAGGUGGAGCAAAUCUCACAAAGCCGGUCUCAGUUCGGAUUGGAGUCUGCAACUCGACUCCAUGAAGCUGGAAUUGCUAGUAAUCGCGAAUCAGCCAUGUCGCGGUGAAUACGUUCCCGGGUCUUGUACACACCGCCCGU
rnacentral:rRNA from 1 species